CAUGAAGAGAGGAAAAGCACUGGAUAGGAAAGAUUUCUGUGAAAUUUGAAGAUGGGAUGAUUUGCACACGUUUGUUUUACUCAAAUGCAGCAAUUACACUACCUAUUCGAAAUGAUACAAAACAUAUACAGCUAUAACAUAUACAGCUAUAACAUUACAAGCUUUAACAAAUCAGCAUGGCACACCAUGAGUGUUGGAGAAGCAUGAGUGUUGGAGAAGCAUGAGUGCUGUCCACAGUUAUCUAACACUAACACUAACUCCAACACAAGCCCGUGACACUGCACGAGGACAGCGCGCGGCGUGUAGACGUCGACCUGCCAUUAACAACUCAGCAGAGUGAACUGGGAUCUAAAGGCCCCAAACCUGUUCCAGCAUAACAAUGCCUCUGUGCACGCUGCAAGCUCCAUGAAGACGUGAUUUGCCAAGGUUGAUGUGGAAGACCCCGAGUGGCCUGGACCCGCGUGGCCUUACUGCUGACACAACAGGGAUCUAAAGGCCCCAAACCUGUUCCAGUAUAACAAUGCCUCUGUGCACACUGCAAGCUCCAUGAAGACAUGAUUUGCCAAGGUUGAUGUGGAAGAACCCGAGUGGCCUGCACCCGCGUGGCCUUACUGCUGACACAACAGUAAGGAAUAUAGACCAUUACACUCAUAUAUGGUCUUUCCCCAAACUGUUGUCACACAUUUAAAAGCACACAAUUGUCUAGAAUGUCUUGGCUGUAGCUUUUCAAUUUUCCUUUACAGGAGCACAAAGUGAGGUCCAUGAAGACAUGGUUAGCCAAGGUUGAUGUGGAACAUAUUGCAUUGUAGUUGCACUAAUUCUUAGGUCUUACAGAUAUUGUAGUAUCGCACAGAUUACUAGUUGUUGCACACAUUCUUAGUUAUUGUACAUAUUAAAGUUAUUGAUACGUCACUGUGAGGUACUGUUGUGUAGUGCAAGACUGGAAAGACACUGCUCAUGAACUUAGACAUGCGAGGUCCAUGAAGUUUUCCAAGGUUGGUGUAGAAGAACCCGAGAGUCCUGCACAGAGUCCUGACCUCAGCUCCAGUGAACACCUUUGGGAUGAACUGAAACACUGACUGAAAAAGCACAUACGAGUGUGAU